rnacentral:rRNA from 1 species
UACGGAGGGUGCAAGCGUUGCUCGGAAUUAUUGGGCGUAAAGCGUAUGUAGGUGGUUUUCUAAGUCUGAUGUGAAAUCCCGGGGCUCAACUCCGGAACUGCAUUGGAUACUGGAAAGCUAGAGGAUGAUAGAGGAUGGUGGAAUUCCAGGUGUAGGGGUGAAAUUCGUAGAUAUUGGGAAGAACACCGAUGGCGAAGGCAGCCAUCUGGACCGACACUGACGCUGAGGCGCGAAAGCGUGGGGAGCAAACAGG